CCUACGGGUGGCUGCAGUGAGGAAUAUUGGUCAAUGGGCGCGAGCCUGAACCAGCCAAGUCGCGUGAGGGAUGAAGGUUCUAUGGAUCGUAAACCUCUUUUAUAAGGGAAUAAGGGGUGGGACGUGUCCUAUUUUGUAUGUACCUUAUGAAUAAGGAUCGGCUAAAUCCGUGCCAGCAGCCGCGGUAAUACGGAGGGUCCGAGCGUUAUCCGGAUUUAUUGGGUUUAAAGGGUGCGUAGGCGGCCUUUUAAGUCAGCGGUGAAAGUCUGUGGCUCAACCAUAGAACUGCCGUUGAAACUGGGAGGCUUGAGUAUGUUAGAGGAAGGCGGAAUGCGUGGUGUAGCGGUGAAAUGCUUAGAUAUCACGCAGAACCCCGAUUGCGAAGGCAGCCUGCCAAGCCAUGACUGACGCUGAUGCACGAAAGCGUGGGGAUCAAACAGGAUUAGAUACCCUUGUAGUC
rnacentral:rRNA from 1 species